UUUAAUUAAUUAAUAUAUUUAAUACGGUGCAGCGGAUAUUUGGUAAUACAGACAGCGUUGUUUUAAUUAGUAUAUAUGUUUAAUACGGCGAAUUAGAUUUUAAUUCAUUUUGACUGGGAUAGUCUAAAAAUUCGGAUCAAUUUCAAAAGCGGAUAUUUGGUAAUACAGACAGCGUUGUUUUAAUUAAUAUAUAUUGUUUAAUACGGUGCAGCGGAUAUUUGGUAAUACAGACAGCGUUGUUUUAAUUUCUAUAUAUGAAUUCGACGAAUUUGCUAAAGAACACUAAACGUAUUGUUUCGAAUUCUGUAAUAUACUGAAAGCGCUGGCGAUUUCUUAUCUCCUAAAUAUAACAUUGUAGCAGCACAGUUGAAAUGAUGGACAAACUUGAGAGUCCCUGGGGUUGCCGCAUUGAAAUUCUGUGCUCAGAGAAACGUCAUAGAACUGCUUGCCGCUGGAUGCAAUCUGUAUCCAUUGUUGAACUUGGUAAAGAACUGGGUACCAGUCCAGCAUCUUGGUUUGAAACUCUGAGUAAUAUCCAUGUGGACAAAAAAAAGUCGGGUAUCUUCUCCUGCACUCUGGUCACCUUGUCCAGCUGGAAGAGUUCUUAACAUUUCAGUUUUAACCCCAUGCUUUUCCCUAAAAAUCCAAAAUGAUUCUCCAGUGCACAUGGACACUCUACUGAUGCUUAGAAGCUCCUCUUGUGAGUCUAUACCAGUACAGAAAGGAUGGUUGGUUAAAACAGGCUUCUGAAGACAGUAUGGAGAAUGGCUGUGAAAACCAGCUGCUGACUUUUUACACUUGACAGUUCCAAUCUGUCAUGGAGCAGCUCUAUGGCAACACCCCGCGACAUGGCUUUUAAAAAUUUUUCUGUGGAUGCAGAGAGACAGAAGGGGCCAGCACGGGCUCUUUUUUCUCCUACUUCCUGUGGUGGGGACAGUGAAUUGGAUGAUGCCAGUCUGGUCUUAACAGUUGAGCAAGAACAGUCCAUCUCUUUAGCUUGUAUUGAGGAACCUGACACUUUGGAGCACACUUUAAAAUCUUCACCUGUCUCAAAUUCUUCAAAAACAUGUGAUUGUGUAAAUAAUACUGUUAAGAAUGGUGAAACAUCUUGUGAAAUUUGUUAUUCUCAAGACAUUUUCCCAUCUGUGGCAGAGAUUGACAGUACAAAAAAAUGCUGAGAGUUCUCUUGAAAGCUCUUUCACAGACACAAAAGAACCUCAUUUUACCUCAAAACAAAAGCUAUGCAAAGAUUGUGAGUCAGACACUAAAGUAUGCAUUCAGACAAACAGGCAUUCAGAUUCAUCUGCAAUUGAAGUUCUUCAUAAUAAUCAGAAUGUGCUUGGAAAAGAAAUACACAGUGAUAAGCAGAUUUACAGGCGUACAUCCACGCCAAAGACUGACAGGUCCAAACUCUGCAAAUUUGCACCUGAUGAUUUAGAUGAAGAAUCUCAUCUUUCGAUGCUGCUGAUAUUGCCGUCUUCCACACCAUUGAGACAUUAUCAACCUUCUCUCCUGUCCAGCCCUGGUCUACAAAACUUCUUCAAAAAGGGCUAGCAUUUUCUGGCUUCAGCUUGUACAUGCAGAAUUCAGGUCAAGAUAGAGUUGAAGCCACAGCAUUUCCUGAAACAUCAUACUUCACUGUGACUUCUGGAUUCACUGAGCACUAUUCAGAUAAACAGAGAAAACUGACCUCUGGGGAGCACCCUGAUAAUUCUGAGGGUACAGCUACAUCUGUGAGGCAGUUCAUGGAGAUUCCAGAAACCAAACAGAAAAGCUGUCCAAAAGCAAAAACUCUUUCGCUUACAGUCCUAUGGAAAACCUCCUCCACUUACUCCUCUGCCCAACUGCAUGUCUCCUGCAGCAGCAAAAGGAUUCAAGCCUGUGAAGAUGAGAAAUGAUAAGAUGUUGCCAUGACUUCCAACCUUGUUGAUUUAAACUUGUGAAGCUUUAUUUACUUUUGAAUGAGAAUUGCCGUGUUGCAAAUGAGUUGCUAGGUCACUGUUAUAUUUAAAUAAAGUCACUGGUUGAAUAACUGGUGAUAUGUAAUGUUAGGCAAGUUUGAAGCCAGCAGUUACAUCUGGUUUAGAAAGAGUAUUAAACUAACAAUAAAAUCUUUGGUAAUUUAAGACCCUCAGAGUUACUGAUGGAAACCUUGACUAAAGCCUUGCACAGUGCUAGUUCCAUGAGUUCGAGAGCUGGAUGUCCGAUGUGGUCAAGAAGCUUGACCGAAGUAAUGGAUACCUAAGCUUAAUAGAUAUUCUGUUCAAUGUUCACUGGGAUUUCCGUUUAUUUGUGUCAUGCAUGUUACUAUCUGAAUGUUGAAUUCAGUAUUUGUUUAUUGUGUCAAAGGUGUAUGUGUGUGUGCACUAUGAUGUUAGUGCAUUCCCAAUCUCAAUGCAAGUCUUCACAUUAUUGUGUUUACAUUAACUAGUGCCUGCUAACCAGUAUGUCAUGCUUAACUGGUUUGGACCAGGAUUUUUGUCAGGAAUAGAGUUAACCCUAGAUCUGUGCUAAAUUCAAUGGGCAUUUAUAUCUGUACUUGUUACAUUUUUUUUUUUGGGGGGGGGGGGAAUUCUUUUACAAUUUGGCUCAGUAAAAAUUUAUUGAAUACUUCUGAAUUUGUUUUUGGUGAAUAGUAAAGUUUUUGCACCUGUUGCAACUUUUCUUAGCUAAGGUAACAAGGUUCAGAUACAAGUCCGGCAGAAAUCUUUGAGGGCCCUGAUCUGGUUGUUAGCUACAGUUUGAUAUUCUGACACUUUCACUGCUGAUACAAUGAACAGUGCUCAAAUGUGUGACAUGUUAGAGCGUACAGAUGCCAAAUAGACAUUUUCACCUCUCUUAUUGGUUGUAAUAAUAAUAAUAAAGAUAAUAAUAAUAAUAAAGAUUUAUUACUUCCCUUAUUUAAAGCAAUUAAGGCUCAAAGCACUUUACAAAAGGAAGACAAAUACACAAAAUAAACAGAGCACACAUAGGGACACAGACCUGAAACAUGUCAGAAAAUAAAAAGGACAGACACUUUAGCGGACAUAAACACGAGAGGGAGAGAAACCCGCUCACGAAGCCUGUCUGGGUAGCUCAGAAAUAACGAGUGGCAGACCAUGCGGGCGGAAAAAAAGAAGAGUUUGUGCUCUUGAAUUGGAGAAAGGGUAACGACAAAAACUUGAGACAGCAGAGCAUAUGACUGUCGAUUCUGGUCGUUAAAAUAAUCAUGCAGUGGUAUAGCAUUUGCAUCAACAGUCGGAAAAAAAAAUACAGCAAUGGCCAAAAAAAAAAAAAAGUUCAAUGUAUGUCACUGACACACACUCUCUGGCUGGCCAGUCAGGCAAAGAAAGUCCAGGGUUCAGGUUUAGCAUAGGGCUGUUCCACAAGCAGUCAUGUUCACAGUGCUUGACUAGGUUUUAGACUUUUUGUUUACUAAUUGUAAAAUGUGUCGUGUACCAGCUCCAUCACUCCCUGACACUGCUGACAGACACACAUACACACCAUAGGGCACACGUCCACAGUCCAAGAAAGAGUCGUAGGUAAGCCAGACACAAGAAGCACACCGUAUAAAUUAGUUUUCAUGUUCAUAGUGGUCUGGACCUGCCGGCGAAAUUCAAAAUCUGGGAGAUUAUUUUCAUAGCAACAUAAAUUUGCAUAGAGUAAAUCAUAAUCAGGUAAAUGUUUUUAUUUAGAGUAUAUGUACACGUAAAUUCAAAGAACGCCAAGUCACUAGCGUAAAGUAGAGCUAAGCCAGUUAAACUGAUGGAGUUUUAUAGCUUUGUAACCUUUAUCUGACCUCACUAUACCAGGCAACAUCUGUUGUAUGAAAAGAAAGAAGUAGAAAUGAUAAGCAAUAUCUGAUACGCUAGCUGGUAUAGAUAAUUAUGACAGAACAUUAAUUUUACUUUUCUCAUUACUAAAAGUGUCCUUCAUACCUGCGAUUAACCUGAAAUACGAGAUUCUUUUUGAACAGAUUUGUGUUCAUCAUCUGGUCUCCAAAAGUCAUUGGCUAAUGGUGGUCUAGGGUAUAAAAAGGUGGACAUCUCUCCUCUUCUCCACCACUGCUCUUGGCGGGACAUCCUGUGACUGACAGCGUUCACCUGAAGGUGUGCCAUAUAGUGAGAGUUAAAAAACACCCCCCCUGCCUGAAACUAACCUGACAAAUAAUCAGGCCAUCUCCCACCUCCACACUUACACAGAUACAGCGAAGCCUGAGUGUAACCUAAAUAAUUAACUACAGACAUUAAUUUAAUGGAUUAAAAUUGAUCUUACAGUAUAGGAAUUUUCUUUCAAAAAAAACCAACCAAAAAACCAAAAACAACAACAAAACAACAACAACAACAACAACAACAAAAACUAACGUGCAAAACAUCUCCGAUUAUGUCCCUGUUAGAUCACCUACAUCUACGUCUGCACCAACAGGUGUAUGUGGCUAUGACACUCUACUUGAUAAAUGUUUUACCCAAAAGGUAGAUGAAAAUGCACGCGUGUGUUUUAGAAUGGUAGACUUCGACCAAUCCAUUAAAAAAACCCCAACACAAUGCCAGUCAAGUAUGAAAAGUGAAGCCAUGUCAAUGUUCAUGUGAAAAUUCCACAAGUUCAGCUGUCGGCUAUAACUGACAAUGGCAGUCGCUCUACUGAUCCUCAUGGUGGCCAUGGUACCAGCAUUAAACUUCAACUUUCCCUACCUGUCUCGAGUCAACACACGAGAAAUAGAAAAUGCUCUCCCUGAGCCGCUAGUGGAUUUCUUGGCUACAUUUCCCUCCCGUCUGCUAAACGGCACGAUGGUGUUUGACAAAGUCUCGACAAACAGCGGAGGCGGUUACAGCAAUACCACCGGGGUCUUCACUGCACCUCGCGGAGGUUUCUACGUCUUCGACGUCAUCCUGGUCCAGAAUCUGACUGAUAGACUAGAGGAUUCAAACUGGAAUUUGAAUGUCAACGGACAGAUGGUGCCGCGCAGGUUGUCAUAUUCUUACUUUAGCAUCACCCAGUACGAGUACACGGUGACCCUACAGGCUGGAGACAAAGUCUCAGUCUCCAGUCAAGAUUCACUCAACUUCUUUCCAGCUGACUCUAGCUCCUUCAGUGGCUCGCUCGAAAAGGAUCUUUAAACUGAAAACCGUUUAACAAAGCAGUCUCGAAGUUUCAUUUUUGGGUAUCUAAUAACCACUUUUGUGCCAUCUAUUCUUUUUACUGUGUGAAACAGUAAGAUGUUCUAAGAUGAUUGUACAUCUCAAAGAAAGAUGUCCAUUUUAAUGCUCUGAAAACUAAUGCACCAUUCUGUGAAAAGCAAAAUAUGAAAAGCAGCUUAACCUUAAUGUUUCUAACCAACCUUUGUUUUCCUUUAUCAGCAUCAAUGAACCUACACUAUCAUACUCUAACUUCAGACAGUGCUGUACUUCUAAACAGUUACUGCAUUUUCGUAUUCAGCCAUAGCAUGUGUGUGCAGAUUUGGCAUUAAAAUGUUUUA
rnacentral:misc_RNA from 1 species